CCUGCCCCUAGAGGCACGGCAGGCGUGGCUGCUGUGUCACAUGUACAUCAGUAGGUAGCUGAGAAGAGAGAGACUAUGUCUACACUCAGUGUUCUGACCUGUGAACAUCUGAAGGAUUAGAAGCCUAAUUAA